ACACAGUAAUAAGGCUAGCCUUUCUCCAGCUUCUGCCACAUAGGAUUUGAGAACAAUUUUAGAAGUGACAUGUCAUUAAAUGAAAAAAGUUAGAAGUUCCAAUCAAAUUAUUUUGUUUCUCCACGUCAUGUCCUUGGAGCCAGACCUAUUAUUCAUCUUUGUGUGGUUCGACUUCACACAUGAUGGCGUCCAUCGCAAUACAGCUCCGACGAAGAAACCGAAGAACAACAGAAAGCCACUGAAGCAGAUGAAUGAUAUCGCAGAGAUCUCCUCCUCUCCUGUCUCCGCCAAAGGAAAAUCAGCUAAGUCGUUUGAGAAAGAUCUGUUGGAAAAAAAAAAGAUCUGUUGGAGAUGCAGACGAUGUUGGAGAAGAUGAAGAUCGAGAUGUCGUUGAGAUCUGAUAUAACGUUCCUUUAGAUUCAUGGUUGGUUCUCCUUGUGUGUAUAUGAUAUGGUUGCUGUUGAGGAAGUUCUGAUCAUUAAUGUAUGUAGUACUUGUUUGGUGGAGCUUCUUUGGGUGUGAUAAGAAAGGGCAGAUCCUUGAAUAUACACCUGCUGUUUGCGGAAGAUAUGGACAUGCGAAGAAGAUUGCAUGAAAACAAGAUGAAAAAGCUUCAGUCUCCUAACUUCCAUGUAUCUAGAACGAGGAUUCUCAUUUAUGUGUCCAAAGUCCAUGGAUGAAAAGCUCUUAAUUAAUGCAAUUAUCUCACGGGCUAAUAAGCAGAAGCCAAUUACCUGACAUGUCACAUAUUGGCGGCCUUUGUGCUAACAAUUCAAACGUAGUUCUAUCAUCUGAAUCUGGUUUCUUUCGUUCAAUGCAUAUCAGUUUCUUACAAAACGAGAAGAAGAGUAAAGUUGAUACGAAUAACCUGACCAUGGUCUUCUGGAGCUUUAAUGGAGCCUUGGAGGUAUGUUUUCCUCAUGAUCUCUUUAAGUUUUAGAAACCACAACCAUGUCAUUUUCUUAAUAGGUUGCUGAUUUUCAAGGAAACACGAUGCAUAGCUAUUGCUUGUGGACUUCUUCUAUAUUAUUUAUAUCUUGCAUUGGAUCUUGAACACGUUACAAGAAAAAAGUGUCGUCAAAUGUGUUGUAUAGACUGUGAUUGUUUACUUUGUAAUAUCAGAAUUCUAGGGAGGUUUCUUUUUUUUUGUACCAUAGUCACAUAUAUGUAGUCGUUUAAGGUUAUUAACCCGUGUGACUCUUAUCAAGCUUGACACUCAAUUGGGGCCAUGUUAGAGGCUCAAACAAGUAUUUUAGGAGUUUUAGUUCGAAUUUUUUGAGUUCAGAUUCUAACAUAAGCUCUGUUCAUUUACAAGACGCUGCGUCAGCGGCUUCCGGCGAAAUGUAUUAACUGUUUUUUUUCAUUCAUCUCGAGAGUAAUACCGGCGGCGAUGCUUUUGCCUAUCAAAAAUAUUCGCAGCAUCCAUCCACCUGCCGCUACUUAUAACAGCAUCACAGCCGACACCGGAAACCUUCGCGAAAAUGAUCGCGGCGUCGGUUUGAUUAAUUUUCCACCAUUUUUUUAUUAUUUUGAUGUUCAGUUUUCCGCAAGCCGCUGCGUCCGCGUCUUGUAAAAGAACAGGGUUAUAUUAUGUGAAAAUGUGAUGUUGCAGGCAGAAUAAACAAGCGCCACGAACGAGUCAGUCCUCAAGUUUCGUUAGACCACGUGAAACAAGCAUGAUUGAUAAAGUAGCAUGACAGAGAAGUGGUGCGUUAGAAAGUUGGUGAUGCAUAAAUGGUCAAGACCAUCGAACUAGAGGAUUGAUAAAAUGGGAUAUAUAAUUUUUUAUUCCACAGAUGUAAACAUAAAUUGGAGACCAAUGGUCACAAAAUAACAACACAGCCAAAAUGUUCAGCUGAAGCUAGAAACUGUAACUCCUCUAUGGUUCUCCAUAACAUCUCUACAUUAUGAAGGUAACAUUUUACUCAUUUUUUCAUCCAAUCUCCUUGUAUGUUUCCUUUUUUAUUCCUAUUUCUUUUUACAGGACAACUUCGCAUGUUUUCUCCUUUUACUACUAUGAAAUCCGUUGAUGUUAUUUUAAGACCAGUAUUGCUUAUUGGCUUGUUAUGACACGCGUUCUGAAUUUUCAAAAAACUUGAGAUUUAACGUUUACGGAUCUCUGCCUCUUUGUUUAGUUGACAUUGUCCCUGCUUGUUUUCAUAUGUAUGACUUAAAGUAAAAAAAAUUUCCCACCAGUUUUUUUGGCCUUGAUUUAUCCCAUGUUUAAAUUAUAAAGGUAAGAAGAAGGCCAUCAAUGACUUGAAUACCGUCUAUGGACGCGACCAAAUAGGUCCAAGACGUGGUCCAUUUUUGCUUCUUCUCUAGGUGAAUGUUAUUGUAUUUUUCUUCGCCGAUUGAUUUAAAUGUCGGAUUAUAUGUCCUCAUUAUGUGAAGAAAAACAUUUGACAAAAUAAAAAUAUGACCAAAAAACACAACAGAAAAAAUUUAAUAUUAUCACUAAUAAGUGUUAAUUCUUAUUAUCUUCACAUUAUAUUUCAACACAUAAACAACAAAGUUUUAACAUAAGAAAUAUUGUCGCAAUACAUAACACACACAAAAUACAUUACAAAAAGAUCAUCUUGACAAAAAAGUUAACAAAUAUAUAUCUAAAAUUGAAAUACAACAUCAAAUUAUAUUGAUGUCUACUAAUCACAAUUUAGUUAAAAAGAUAAAUAACAUUAACUUUAAGCAAAUAACCAAUGUUUUUAAACCCGAUUCGGACACUGAAACGAAUGACAUUCCGGAUUACCAAAUCAUCGGAUCGACCGCAGAUGAACCAUAGAUU